rnacentral:rRNA from 1 species
GUGGGGAAUAUUGGUCAAUGGGGGAAACCCUGAACCAGCAACGCCGCGUGAAGGAAGAAGGCUUUCGGGUUGUAAACUUCUUUUACCAGGGAAGAAACAAAUGACUGUACCUGGAGAAUAAGCUCCGGCUAACUACGUGCCAGCAGCCGCGGUAAUACGUAGGGAGCAAGCGUUAUCCGGAUUUACUGGGUGUAAAGGGCGCGUAGGCGGGCAUGCAAGUCAGAUGUGAAAUCUAUGGGCUUAACCCAUAGCGUGCAUUUGAAACUGUGUGUCUUGAGUGAUGGAGAGGCAAGUGGAAUUCCUAGUGUAGCGGUGGAAUGCGUAGAUAUUAGGAGGAACACCAGUGGCGAAGGUGACUUGCUGGACAUUAACUGACGCUGAGGCGCGAAAGCGUGGGGAGCAAACAGGAUUAGAAACCCUAGUAGUCC